UCGGAGAGUUUGAUCCUGGCUCAGGAUGAACGCUGGCGGCGUGCCUAAUACAUGCAAGUCGAGCGAACUGAUUAGAAGCUUGCUUCUAUGACGUUAGCGGCGGACGGGUGAGUAACACGUGGGCAACCUGCCUGUAAGACUGGGAUAACUUCGGGAAACCGAAGCUAAUACCGGAUAGGAUCUUCUCCUUCAUGGGAGAUGRUUGAAAGAUGGUUUCGGCUAUCACUUACAGAUGGGCCCGCGGUGCAUUAGCUAGUUGGUGAGGUAACGGCUCACCAAGGCAACGAUGCAUAGCCGACCUGAGAGGGUGAUCGGCCACACUGGGACUGAGACACGGCCCAGACUCCUACGGGAGGCAGCAGUAGGGAAUCUUCCGCAAUGGACGAAAGUCUGACGGAGCAACGCCGCGUGAGUGAUGAAGGCUUUCGGGUCGUAAAACUCUGUUGUUAGGGAAGAACAAGUAYGAGAGUAACUGCUCGUACCUUGACGGUACCUAACCAGAAAGCCACGGCUAACUACGUGCCAGCAGCCGCGGUAAUACGUAGGUGGCAAGCGUUAUCCGGAAUUAUUGGGCGUAAAGCGCGCGCAGGCGGUUUCUUAAGUCUGAUGUGAAAGCCCACGGCUCAACCGUGGAGGGUCAUUGGAAACUGGGGAACUUGAGUGCAGAAGAGAAAAGCGGAAUUCCACGUGUAGCGGUGAAAUGCGUAGAGAUGUGGAGGAACACCAGUG
rnacentral:rRNA from 2 species